GUCGCUCUGCCGCGAGAGGGCGCUCUGGGCAGCAGGAGACGGCGCACCCGCGGCUCGUGGACUCCGCGCGCUCCCAGCGCCGCGUCCCGCCCGGAUACCCUGCCGGCCUCGGAGUGGGGGCCCCACAUCCCCACGCUAGUCUCCCGACCCUGAAGGCCCUGCCUCGCGGCCCUCGGCCCGCAGUCGUCCCGCCGGACCCCUCGCGGGACCCCCACCGCCGCCGCCGGCCGCGCCCGCAGCGCUCCCGCCCGGAAGCGCGGACUUCCGCCGCACGGUUCCGCGGGUGUCCACGCCGCCAUGCCCUCUCUCGGGGACCUGCUGCGGGAAUGGGACCGGGGCGCGCAGGCCGUAGCGCGCGGGGACUGGGACUGUGCCCUGCGCCUCUUCUCGGGCUACCCGGAGCCGUCCGCCAGGAUGUGCUUCAACGUGGGCUGCGUGCACCUGUUGGCCGGGGACCCGGAGGCCGCGCUGCGGGCAUUUGACCAAGCAGUGACCAAGGACACUUGCAUGGCUGUGGGCUUCUUCCAGCGAGGAGUGGCCAGCUUCCAGCUGGAGAGGUUCCAGGAGGCCCUGUGUGACUUCCGUCUGGCCCUGGCACAGCUGAGGGACAACACCGCCAUUGACUAUACACAGCUGGGCCUGCGGUUCAAGCUGCAUGCCUGGGAGGUGCUCUUCAACUUGGGGGCCGCACAGUGCCGCCUGGGUCUCUGGGCUGAGGCCACCCGCAGCCUAGAGGAAGCCCUCUCCAAGGGGUCAGAAGGGGCCCGAGACCACCUGUGCACUGCCCUGGACCAAGUGCAGAAACAGGUGCACCUGCAGCCUCGGCAGGGCCCCAGCGGUGAGGUCUUCCGGCCCCACAGGUGGCACCUGGAGCUCCUGGAACCAGUGGAUUUCCUGGGCAAGGCCAAGGUGGUAUCCUCUGCCUUCCCUGCCGACCGGCAGGAGGACAUCCAGCCUCAGCAGCCCCAGGUUCAGGGUGCAGAUGGCAGAGCCAGGCCUGGAGCCGCCCCACGGGCUGCAGUCACCGGGGCCUGGAAAACCCGCACCGCCUGUGGUCCCAGGAAGCCCCCUGAGACAGAGACACAGGUCGGCCCUGGGCAGGCGGGGCAGGCUGACCACCAUACGCCUGUCCUCUCCGAUGAACAGCUGGUUCACAGGCCGUACGCCUCACCACUGGACCUGCUUCCACAAGCCAGGGACACUGCCCCACCCCCAGGGCCCCCAUCCCUGGCCCCUGCUCCAAGCCUGUGGCUUUCCCUGCAGAGGCCCAGUGUGGAACAAGUUGGCAAACAGGUUCCUCCAGGGCUGCGGGUGGCAGGGGAGCCAGACCCCGGCCCUUCUGAAGACCCCUCUCACGCUGGGGGAGUGGCCGUGGGGGACCCUGAGUCCUUGGCGACCCUCAUAGUGCAGUGUGCCUUCACACUGGCCCUGAAGGUCCCAAGAGGAGCUGACCUGUCCAGCCUGCGGACCCUGCUGAGCCAGGCCCUCCCCCACCAGGCCCAGCACGGGCAGCUCAGUUACCAAGACCCCAGCAACGAGGGGCACUGGGUCCCCCUUGCUAGGGAGGAGGUGCUACAGAGGGCCUGGCGGGACAAGGCGGCCAGCCCUGGGGUCCUGCGGCUCCAGUGCCGGGUGAGCCCCAGGAGAGCCCGGUGUGGGUCCCGGUGCGUGUGGGGCGGGGGAGGCCCUGGGGCCCUUCUGCAGCCGGCCCACCCUGGAGCCCUCCCCUGCCACAGGGAGCGGGCGGCCGGCCUGUCCUCUACCAGGUGGUGGCCCGGCACAGCUACUCUGCCCAGGGGCCUGAGGACCUGGACUUACAGCUGGGGGACAUCGUGGACGUCCUGUGUGAAGUGGACCCGGCCUGGUUGGAGGGCCACUGUGAUGGCCGCAUCGGCAUUUUCCCCAAGUGCUUCGUGGUCCCAGCUGGACAGUACAUGUGAGGAGCCCAACACCCCCACCUGGAGCCCCACAUACCCCAAGCCCAGUGAGGAAAUCAGCCCUAGGAAGUCCCGUGGCAAGAACGGUUUUAAUAAAGCAAUCUUCCCCCCACUAAGGUGUGGUCUGUGUUCUUGGCUUGUCCGCUGUGAGGGCCCGAUGGAGGCUUUGAGGAUGGGGGAUGGGGCUGCUCCCAGAGAAGCCUAGGAGCCUGGAUACCUCCCCUCAGGGCAGCCGCCCAGCUUAGCCCUGGGGCCAGAGGAGCUGGCCUGCCACAGCCCCCAGAGUAACCGCGAGAGUCAGCACGGCAAAGACGACCCCGGCCGCCCAGAUGCCAUAGCUCUGUGCCCGCCACUGGGCAGGCACCUCGGCCGGGAUCAUGCUGGUCAGGUUCAGCAUGUAGCCCAGCGUCCAGCCCAUCUCCGUGCCACCAGCCUGUGGGACACACAGGCUGCUCAGUGCCGUGGGCGGCUGCCCUGGAGCCCCUGACCCGCCCUCGCCCUGGGCCAGGUGGUCACCUGCUUGCGGAACUCGAUGCCAGGCCAAGUCUCCUCACUGAACCCGUAGCCCUCAAGCAGCAGCGUGAGAAUAUACAGCCCCGAGGUACAGUAGUCACGAAGCCAGCGGUCCUGCCCGGGCGAGCUGGCCUCCACCUGGGGGCCCGGGAGGUGAGGAGCCAGUUGAUGUCCCCACUCCCAGCCUCCCAGGGACAGGGUCCCCCCAAGUCCCUGCCUGCUGAGGUCUGUGCCUGUGACAGCUGCGGCUCGGAGACCCAGGGCGGCCCUGGGAUCCACCCACCUGCUUCCAGGGCCUCUGGCAGAACUCCCAGAUGGUGGCGUUGACAGUGGCCAGUGGCUGCUUGGACGUGAGGUUCAGGAAGUGGAAGGUGUAGUAGAAGUUCGAGAAGGCCUGGGGGUAGAGGGGGGUGAUGAGCUGUGUGUCUUCCCUGGGCACUGGGGUGAUGCCCGGUGGGCCCGGGUCAGAGGAGCCCUGGACAAACCAGGCAAAGUCCCCCCCUGCCCCCAUGCGGGGCCCCAGAGUUCCCAAGAGCCCGCCUGUGCAGGGCUCAUCCUGGGCCCACCUGGGGUCAGACCCCUGGGGCCCGGGGCCGUGGAAGGAGGCUGAGACCCUGGGGAGGACAGGGUAGGGAGCUCACAUAGAACUGGCCCCGCACAGGGGGCUGGUAGACCCCAUUGAAGGCACAGUGUCCUCGGCCCUGGCAGCUGGAGAAGUUGAAGAGGCCCCGGAUGGCUGAGAUACAAGCCCCGGGGUUCCCUGUCCCUUCCACAGUGAGGUUCCCGGCCAGCUCUGGAGGGGCUGCCGUGUGCACACAGGGGGACUCGUAGAGGGCGGCCGGGGACAGCGUGGCCCAGUAGCCGCUGUGGUAGCAUGGGUGGCGGACCAGGGGGCCGGAGCUGCUCUGCGGGAGGGCAGGGAGGUGGCCUUGAGCCCAGCCCAGGGCCACAGGCCACCCCAGCUCGCCUCCCCCUCCUCUGUGGCCCAGCCGACCUGCACCAGCUGUGCCAGAAGCCUGCUCAGCAUCUGGUCCCGCCCGAAACAGAGGUAGCUGUGGGUGUAGACACUGUGCUCAGAUCCGUAGAGGCGGAAGGUGGUCUGGGUGCUCUUGUCCAGUAUGGGGCCUCCAGGCACAAAGGUGAUCUGGGUGGAGGCUCCACCCAUGUCCAGGGCGCCCACCAGUGUCCCCUCCAGAGGCUGGAUCCAUUCUCCAGAGAAGGAGUACUGAGCACAGACAGGGGGCACUGAGUCCUGGGACCAGCCGCAUUGACCCACCGCCCCUGGUCAUCCAACCCCCACCCUCGGGCUGCACACAGCACCUUGACCAGCAUGCCCAGGACGUAGUUAAUGGUGAUCCAACCUAAAGCACCCUCGUCCUGCCCGGCCAGAAGCUCAGCACCCCAGAAGUCCAGGGGGGACUUGCUCAGGACCUGGGUGACCGCCUCGAAGAUGUCUCUUGCCUGAGAGCUAUUCUUCUGGCUGGACAGAAAAGACCAGCAGCCCGAGCUGGCAGGAGACCCACACCCACUCCACUCCGCCCGCUGGCCCAAGGCAUUGACACCACCACGGCUCUCGGAGCUGUUCCUCACGGAUGUGCCAUAGGCCUCAAGUCAGCCCAGCUCACCUGAGUAGUCUCAUGCCAGCCGUGGCCCCCAGGAACAGGGGUGUCUUCCGCUGCUGUGCCUCUGGGAUCAGCGCCAGCGCUUCCUCCAGGCAGCCCUGCAGGCUCUCACCGGCUUGUGCAGGAUUGGAGGCAUAGGAGGAGAUUCCAGGCCCUGAAACACAGCACCCCAGGACGAGGCUCCAGGCCUGAAGGCUGGGCUGGGCCGGAAGAGCCUGUGGGGAGUUGAACAGUGUCUCCGCCCCCCACCGCCCCCAAAAGGUUGAUCUGCUGAUUUGCUAAAGGAUGUAAAUGUGGCUCAGCUGGCUCCGGCCUGUACCACCUCCCAACCCUCCGCCUCGCCGGGAAUCCCUCCCAGACAGCAGCCGACAGCCGUGCACACCCGCUCUGUCCCCAGAGCUGCCUACUGACCUUUCGCCUGGCAGACCAGGGCCUGGCUGACCACACCCGUGUCGUUCUCCUUGUCUGCUGGCCACCGGUACACAAAGAGGGACGUGUGGGAGGACCCCGCGUCAAACACAAUCCCAAACUGAGAGUGACAACAAGGUCAGGAGGGCGUGGGGCCAGCGCCCAGCCCAGCCCAGCCCAACCUCCCCACUGCUCGGGGUCUGGGGGCCUACCUUGGUGUCUGUGGGCAGGAGGACAUCAGUGGCCUCCACCAGAAUGAGAAUGAGCAUGGUGAGGCCUGAGGCCACUGCCGCCCCGAGCAGUGCCGUGAGAACCCGCGGCUUCCAGGUCAGCCCCAUCAGGGCAGGGCAGGGCAGGGCAGGGCUGGGCUGGCACCUGCGGGUGUGGGCAGCAGUGGGCACCGGACGCCCCUUGCCACAGACACUGCUGCCCUGGAGAGCCACCCCGUCCUCCCUGGGGCUCAGCACGUCUGAGCUCAGUCAGUGGGCAAAGCUGAAGACCACACCCCAGGAGCCGGGCCUGCCCAGGAGUGCUGUGGAGCCAGGGUCCAGCCUGGGACAUACAGUGAUGAUGGGGUCCAGAAGAGCCCCUUUCUUUCUUCUUUUCAGACAGAGAGA